rnacentral:rRNA from 1 species
GUCCUACGGGGGGCAGCAGUGGGGAAUAUUGCACAAUGGGGGGAACCCUGAUGCAGCGACGCCGCGUGGGUGAAGGAGCACCUCGGUGCGUAAAGCCCUAUCGGCAGGGAAGAAAAGCGAACAGGUUCGCCUGGACGGUACCUGACUAAGAAGCCCCGGCUAACUACGUGCCAGCAGCCGCGGUAAUACGUAGGUGGCAAGCGUUGUCCGGAUUUACUGGGUGUAAAGGGCGUGUAGCCGGGCCGGCAAGUCAGAUGUGAAAUCCCAAGGCUCAACCUUGGAACUGCAUUUGAAACUGUUGGUCU